rnacentral:rRNA from 1 species
UACGAAGGGGGCUAGCGUUAUUCGGAAUCACUGGGCUUAAAGCGCGUGUAGGCGGAUGGGAACGUCGGUCUUUGAAAGCCCCCGGCUCAACCGGGGAAGCGGAGCCGAAACGACCGAUCUGGAGGGACGUAGGGGGACCUGGAACUUCCGGUGGAGCGGUGAAAUGCGUUGAGAUCGGAAGGAACGCCCGUGGCGAAAGCGAGGUCCUGGACGUCUGCUGACGCUGAGACGCGAAAGCUAGGGGAGCAAACGGG